UUAAAUUCUCAGACUUGAAUAUCUUGUACCCAUGGUUUGUUACGACGAAUGUGUUAUGCCGCUCAUACGAUAUUUUUAUCUAAACUUCUACUCAGAGAUAAAUUUACCGGUUCUUAUAUUUUUUAAAUAUAAAAACAAUUUUUAAUCGAAAUAAGAAGAGCAGUCGGCCUCCCAGAAUGCAUGACGUGUAUUUAAUUAUUUCCAACGAAGUAUUGAAGAAGUCUCGGAGAAAAAGCGAAAACUUUGGAUCGGAAUUAAGUUGGGAAAAAUUAUAUCCUUAAAAAUGGAAAUCCAAAUCCCAUAAUGAAUAGAAUGAGCAUCGUUAGAUACUAAUGGUUUCGAGAUGGCAUCACAUCGAACAGUACCGAAAUGUCCAGUAGAACCCGUCCCGAGUAAAUUAUCUCUAUUUAAUAAUCUCUAUUUAAUAAAUAAUAGGGGUUAAAGUAUGAAUUUGCUGAUUUGUAUUGAAAAAUUGUAAUUCGUUCUUUUUUUUCAUUAAACAUAUUUAUUGAAUCAAAA